AUCCAAGAAACGUUCAGAGUACGUCCUGAAGAUGAUCUCGGGAUGUUUCUUCAUCCUCAGAACGUCCCUGGGAUGUUCUUAGGAGAUCUUGUGCUGUCUGGAGCCACCCAAUCAGAAUCAGGCGGAGGCCCGAUUCUGAUUGGAUGGCUUUUAAUGCUUCUCUACUCCACUCUCCGCUUUCCGUGUCCAUCUGAACGCACGUAGUCACGUCGUAUACGAAGAUCUUAAUAUAAGGGUUAUGUGGCACAAAAUAAUUAACUUCAGGUUGUUACACUAUUUUUCCUAUUUUCUUGAUAGUUAUAAGUUAUUCAGACUGCGUCUCAAUUUUCCUCCUUAAUCCAUAUAAUAAUUAUUGGAAAAUGUGCCAAAAAUUUCAAAACAACCAGCGAAGCAUAUUAAAGAAACAAAACAAGUAUCCCAACAAAAUGAUUUGUCACAAGAUUUGUUUCACAAGCAAAUGAAGCAUAAUAUGCAAACGGAGAAUUAUGUAAUUAAUAAAAAUUAUGAAAAUUUACUGAGCACAAGCAAGCAACAAACUAGUGAUCUAGACAAUGGUAAUUGUCAAGUAUUGCAACAAAAUGAUUUUCCACAAGAUUUGUUUCACAAGCAACCGAAGCAUAACAUGCAAACGGAGCAUUAUGUAAUUAAUAAAAAUUACAAAAAUUUACCGAGCACAAGCAAGCAACAAACUAGUGAUCUGGACAUUCGUAAUUGUCAAGUAUUGCAAAAAGAUGAUUUUCCAUAAGAUUUGUUUCACAAGCAACCGAAGCAUAACAUGCAAACGGAGCAUUAUGUAAUUAAUAAAAAUUAUGAAAAUUUACCGAGCACAAGCAAGCAACAAACUAGUGAUCUGGACAUUGAUUAAACAAUUGGUUCGAGUUGUAUGCGAGGAUUUAAAAAUCAUUAUGUAUAAGAUUAAUGAGACAAAUCUUCAGCAAUGAAUUAGCCAUGGAAUACAGCUAGUAUGGAGCGAAAAAGAAAAAUAUCUUCAGCAACUUACAAUUGUGUAAAGUAAUUAUAUGUGUGAUAAGAAAGUCGCAUACAACCGCAACAGAUGAACAAAUUUCUGCUCCCAUCAAGAUCUGGCUGGCUCAUGCAAAGGAACGUGCAAAAAAACAAAAAAUAAUUGAGUUAUUUUAGAUUUUACAUAUAUAUAUAUAAUUUAUG
rnacentral:lncRNA from 1 species